rnacentral:misc_RNA from 1 species
CCAAACUUGGUCAUUUAGAGGAAGUAAAAGUCGUAACAAGGUCUCCGUUGGUGAACCAGCGGAGGGAUCAUUACCGAGUUGCCCGAACUCGCAAACCCCAUGUGAACAUACCUACGUUGCCUCGGCGGGCAGCGCGCCCCUCUCACUCGGGAGGGCCUCGCAGCCCGCCGGCGGCCCUUUUUAACACCCUGUUUUUUACUAUUGGAACUUCUGAGUGGGAUUUGGUACACGUUAAAACUUUCAACAACGGAUCUCUUGGCUCUGGCAUCGAUGAAGAACGCAGC